GGAAGAAUAUGAAAGCAAUAACGAAAGUCAAGAAAACGAGGAAAACAAAAGUUACGAGUCGCUGUACAUGAGUGAUGAUGGAGUCGAGCAUUUGGAGAGCACCUAAUCGUGAUCGAAGCUAAGAUGAAUAUUUUUGGUACCAUGUUUCUGGCGACAUGUUGGUUAGAGAUACAAUGUCAACUUAAAAAACUUGAGGCGAUGUGUGAUGUUGAACAAACGAAGCAUCAUCAUACUCUUGUGGCGAACUGUUCAAAUUUUGGCGGUGGACCUAUAGUUCCGCGAAAUUUAAGCUCUGAAAUAGAAGCGAUGAUAAUGUCGGUUCUGUUUUUAAACGCGUCAGAAAUCUCGAACGAUUUAUUCAAACACUACGUAAAAUUGAAGAGACUCGAAUUACUCCAUAUCUCAGAAGAAUCCGAACCUUCGCAGACGAUGGUGUUUCACGAGGAUGCAUUUUCGAAACUCGAGAAGUUAGAGAAGCUAACCAUCCAUCACACCAGAUUCGACAAAAAUCCGGAUUAUAUAUGGCCUCCAACUUUGAAAAGAUUGGAAUUGACAGACGUGGAAUUAAAGCAACUCGUCAAUACCAAAUCAUUGACCAACUUGGAGUAUCUAGAUUUAUCAAAAAAUCAACUGGAGCAAUUUCCAAAGCUGAAUGAAAAAGCUUAUAAGCUAGAUACUAUUAUCUUGAAGGAUAAUCCUAUUGCUAUGAUCACAGUGGAACAAGUGGCGCCCUAUUGUUUACUAACCACUUUGGAUCUUGCAUUAACGAAAGAUGCUAAUUUUACCAAAACCGGUGUAGAUUUUUGCCCCUGUUUGAGACUUCUCAAUUGGAUGAAGAAGAAGGUGCCCACGGGUGAUGGCAUCAAACUGGAUUGCGGAUCGAUUGGUAGCGGUGCAAAUGCCAUACAACUUGGGAACAGUCAAUGCCCGAACUCGUCCACUUUCACCGAGAAGGAAUUGAAAUUAUACUCGGAUUGUACAAGUACAUCCGGUAACCCGGCCGAUUCGCCGUUAUGGGAGCUGUUACUUUACGCGGUGCUUUUCUCGGUGCUUUUUCCUAUUGGGUAUUUUGCCAACGAAGCUUAUAAUCGUUACUCUGCGCGGUCGGAGGAAGCUUCUCGUGUUUCACACGAUACUGGUAAACGACUCCAUCGUCGAAUAGGAACUCACUGCAAGGAAAGUUACGAAUGUGAAACCGAUUGCGAAGAGGACUGCGUGGAAACUGAACAAGAUGAAACUUGAAACGCAGAAGUGAUGCUGCCUUGAGAUGAUGAACAUCAGCUGUGCUCGCUUGCCGAAGCUUUGAAAAAUAUAACUUUUCCUGCCGAAGCUGAAAAAGCCUAUAAUGAGUACAUGGCUCUAUUACCUUCGACGUCGAUCUUUGAGCUUCUUCUGUACGAUGUUUUUUUCGCCGUCUUGUUUCCAUUGUUGUAUUUCGGCAACGAAGCUUGGAAUAAGUAUAAAUCGAAGAAAAUGGCACCUCCGCCUACACCGGUGAAACGAAGACGCAAAAAACGCAGAAUUAUUACAACUGCGUCUACAACUACCACCACCGUACCUUCAACAGUUGAUAUCGAAGCUGGCCAAUCGGAUCAAGUCGAUGAUACGGAGCGGGAAGGAAGCCAGGAGUAAAUGAUCCGUUUUAAGAGCAUUUUUGAAACAACUAGUGGAAUUGAGUAGCGCUUAAUGGAUGCUAGAAAUGGUGCUGAUUCGUCAUUUUAAUUCAGCUUACAUUGAGAGUUGUUAUCGUGGACAGUGACUCCCAGAGGGGCUGCAGUAUAUUUGAAUUGUUCGGUUAUAGAGAGAAAAGCAGUUUGCACGAAUCACGAUGGUAGUAAUGCAGAUGUCUUCUAUGACGGGUUUCCAGAUGAUAUGAA